UCUGCAGGAUUUACGCGCACGUUGGAACCGAAGAGAGCUCUGUUGUUGCAAUGUUCAGCCCACAAGAGCUUACUGGUGAAGGAAUGGGACAAGACCCAUCUUUAUGCAAAGCCAGCGUUACAGUAAUGUUCCAGGUAGGUGUACAUGGUUUAUGCUCUUACAGAGGAGACCUUGUAGAUAACCACUCCAUGAUGAACACAAAAUGACAAGCAUAUGGCUGAACUUUCAAGUGAUGUCAUCUUACUACUGAGAAGUGAGAGAGAGGUCUUAAGGGGUCUUUGAAUGACUAUUUUUAGGUACAUAAAAUGCUUUCCUCUGUUGUCUACAGCAUCUCAUAAUCUAUCCUGGGGAAUUCAGCUGCCUCCCAGGGUGAAUACAGGUAUUCCUGAUGACAGUCUGCCUCUAUCUUACAGUAAGUUGUUUUUCGAAUUCUAUGGGCCUAUUAUCUAAUAGAUAACUUAGCCAUUUUGAUAUUUGUUACCAAAGCCUGCUUAACCCAUAAAGUUUUCUGGUUCCUCUUGUUCUCUGUAGUGAUGUUUCUAGAUAGAUGCCCACUGAUAUAU
rnacentral:lncRNA from 1 species